UACGGAGGGGACUAGCGUUGUUCGGAAUUACUGGGCGUAAAGCGCGCGUAGGCGGAUUUGUAAGUCGGGGUGAAAUCCCGGGGCUCAACCUCGGAACUGCCUUCGAUACUGCAAAUCUCGAGUCCGGAAGAGGUGAGUGGAAUUCCUAGUGUAGAGGUGAAAUUCGUAGAUAUCGAGAGGAACACCGGUGGCGAAGGCGGCUCACUGACUCGUAUCUGACGCUCAGGCGCGACAGCGUGGGGAUCAAACAGG
rnacentral:rRNA from 1 species